UUAUAAGAAAUUAGAUAGAAACACAUCUUUGAAGAAAAACGUAGAUUUUAGAUGGUGAUUUAUCUCAAAUUGUCAAUUAAAUAUCAAUGUUAACAAAAUUCAACGUCAUUAAUAGACCUUACACAAAUUGAUUUGGGUGAAAUGUCAACUUGAUAAUUAAACGUCAAAAAGUAGCCGACAUCAAAGUGACGUUUUAACAAAUUGAUUUUUAAUUUUUUAUAAGAAAUUAGAUAGAAACUCAACUUUAAAGAAAAACGUAGAUCUUAGAUGGUGAUUUAUCUCAAAUUAUCAAUUAAAAGUGACGUUUUAACAAAUAGAUUUUUAAUGUUGGUAGUAGAUGAUGAUUUAUCUCAAAAUGUAUCAUUGUUCUAAAUCACCAACCAUAUUUACAACAUUACAAGUCAGGUUGGACCUCACAUACUAGCAAAAACAUAGAUCUAAUACCAUUAGCUUUGAUGAAGCAAAAUCUAUUUCUAGAAAAAAAUUAGACCAUCCAAAAUAGAAAGAUGCUGAAAAAUAUCAAUUCUAAAGAAAUACUCAAGAAUUAAUGAAGUUAAAAUGUGGUUAAGUGGACAAAAUGGGCUAAUAAUAAACUAAGAUGACAUUGAAGAUGAAGAGGAAAAUGAAAAUACAGGAGAAAAUUAUUGGAAUAACAAGGCUGAAGAAAAUGAUGUAUCUUAUCAUGAACUCUACCAGUUUCGAUGUGUUAUUAAAAUCAUCUUCAGGAUUCUGAACCACCUAAUAAAUUAAAAUCAAUAAUAAUAAUAAACAAAGAUAAUCACAAAAAGAUGUUGUCUUUUUUUAAGGUUAUAUCACUAAUUCCUAAAACUUACUUUAAAACAAAUUUAAUGUUUUAAAUCCA